UCAGGACUGGAAGAUAUUUUGGCUUCCUGUGCUGCAGAUAUCAGCUUCCAUCAGUGACACAUCCUCUCUCCAGUACAGAAUCAAAGUGGGCUGUUGAGCAAUCCAGCCAGAAGUCCCCUCUCCAGUAUCAAUUAAAUUCACCAGCUCACUCCACUUGCUGCUGUCACCCAGGUUCAUCGUCUCUCUCCUGAAGCCAACGCACUAGCAGGGAAAACAUUAACAUAACAGGGAAAACAUCAUUGUCAUGGAGAGAGGGAUGACAACAAUGAAGCGGCUGCAAAUCACACUGAUUGUUAGUGCUGGACCCGGUGGAUGGGGAGAGGGCUAAUGUAAUUGUCCAGGC